ACUAAACCGAACAUGACUUCAAUAACUUCUCCUUAUAACAGGAAGGUGAGGACUGAACUUCUACAACAUUAUGGCCGCAAUCGCAAGUUCUACCUCAAGAGAAAGCGGUUCGACAACUACCGAUCAGAGAUGGCCCGGUCGUUGUUCUGCCUCUGCCCGCUGGGAUGGGCACCUUGGAGUCCUCGGCUCGUGGAAUCAGUCCUGCUAGGCUGCAUUCCGGUUAUAAUUGCUGAUAACAUACGUCUGUCGUUCCCUCCAGUCCUCCAGUGGCAGGAGAUCUCACUGCAGGUGGCUGAGAAGGACAGCCAGUCUUGAGAUGGUGCUUGACCAUGUUGUGGCAACCAAUUUGACCGUGAUACAGAAGAAUUUGUGGGAUCCAGUGAAGCAGAGGGCUCUGGUUUUCAAUCGUCCGAUGGAAGCAGGCGCUGCUACAUGGCAAGUUUUGAGGGAGCUUGAGGUUUUGCUGGACCAGUCUCGGAGGAGAUCUGUUGGAUCCUAUUCCUGGAGGAGGUGAAGCACACAGAAGGUCAUCUGUUGCAGCUGUGUACCCAUGGUUUGCACUCUGCAGUUCACAGCAUGCCGCCCUGGCUGACAACAUCAACAUUGAGUCGAGACCUGAGCCUGAGAUCCACCUCUGACAUGGUUUUUUCUCACCAGAAAUUCAGAAUGACGAUCUCAAACCAGAGCUCUACUUCUGACAUGGAUUUUCUAAUCUAGAAAUUCUGAAUAUUGAUCUCAAGCAAGAGUUCCCAACCUUCAGUUAGGUCAAUGGGAAUAUGGGCUGUUAGCUCAACCUUCGUUGGCUUGUUGUCUGGUUAGUGCCUAACUGGAGAUCCCAAUCUCAGUUGACAAGUUGACCAGGUCUGUAUAACGUAUAGGCAUACCGUUCACACAUUUAUUUAUUCUUUUAAGAACUAGGAUGAGUUUGCUUUUCUUGCCAUAGAAAGAACAUAGAUCUUACUGCAAUUUAGAGGUUGCAGCAUAUUUUUUGUAUUUAUUUUUUUGGUUGCACACUUGUAUAGUUGUCGGGCUGUUGUGUAUGCUACUUAAAUUCUUCUGUAAAUAGAAUGGUGUCAAAGAAUGAGUUGAUUUUAAGAUAACGAGAAGCACUCUAGCCUAUUAAAAGAACA